ensembl:lncRNA
GGUGAGGCAGGGCCUUUGGAAGGGCAGGUUGCAGGGAUCGCCUGCACCUCGGCAGAUGUGCCUCGGUGUCACUCCACAUGCGCGGCCGAAUGAAUCACCCGGACAGAUGUUUAACGUCAAGGCCGGGCUGUCACGCCGGCCAAGACACGCACGUGCACCGACCACGCAGUACAAAUUAUCACUACAUCAGGAUGUGGCUCCGCGAGGGAUCAGACGACCACGUUCACCUCGAUGUGACUUUGACGACAAAAAAAGCAGAAAUGCGGAUUGGACUAAACCUAGAGACAUUCUUUUGUAAAAGUACAAUAAAUACACACAAUGCGCUGACAAAAAUACAGUUCUGCUCAAACUCACUGAGCCUUAUGAAAUGUUUCUACAGAAUAAUGUAUUUUCAGACACUAUUUGAUCUGUGUCUUGUAGCAUUCUGACACAACCUGUCAAUAUUGAAAGAUUUUUUAGAAAACUCCACCAGCAUCCUCCCACACAAUUCUUUUCUUUUGUGGGACCUUUCAUGACAGUAUAAAGAUAUUUUGUCAAGGCAAAUUUCCACCGACAUACUACACACUGAUGGGGUUUUAUUCUAGAUGUUUUGGGGUUUGUUUUAAGGUGGGUAUGAGUAAUAAAACUGCAGACAUUAUAAAGCAGAUGCUUUCCACAUUUGUAGUGUCGCACUGCCAUGUUGUAACAAACACAUUUUAUGGACGAAUGGCACGGUUAGGGUUAAUUCAGACUACGUAUUUAAUUCCAAAACAUUCGCAAUUAAUUCAUACAUUUCUACGUAGCCCACUGUCCUUUAAGGUGAACAGCGACAAUAAAAGGCUGGACAGAUUUUCUCGGAAAAUUAAACAAUUUUGUGCAUGCCUCGGUACCAAGAAUGUUGAUAAUCGCUGCAAUAGAAUAGAGCAAUUGAAGGUAGGGAGCUUUUAAGAAAGUGUGGCUGGAUCUUUGAGAACAUUCUUUAGGCCCUUUUUCCCUCUUUUGGAGAAAACCCAGGCAGAUAAAAGGAAACACUCGGGUGGAUUAAAGUGUUCAGAAUGCAUCAGCAUCAAACCACUAGAGUUUUUGCCCUCUACAUUUUUCAAACACAGUCAAUAGAUCUAAAUAUUUUACUGUGCCCUGGCCGAUUUAUUGUUUGAUGUUUAAAAACUACUGGGGAAUGAAAGAAAAUUCAUUAAAGAAGAUGGCCCCAGAAAGAGGCCCGGCGAUCAGCUUUGAAAGUCUAGUUUAACUGCUAUAUUGAUCAUUCUCUUUCUUCUGUGACAAAGGCCACCAGGGACGCUGGAGGUGUCGGUGGAUGAAGGCGCGCUGCCAAUAACACCAGACGUGUGUGUGUGUGUGUGUGUGUGUGUGCGUGCGCACUGAAGGUGAAGCUGGGAAUAACACUACGUACGUGGGGGAAAAAAAUCCAAUAACUCAAAAAUGACCAAACAACAUCACGUUUUGGGGGAUUUCUUGCUGGUCAAACGCGGUGCGGUUCAGGCGAAGCAACAUGCGACCGAGAGAGGAGAGCACAAUAUUUGGGAACUUAAUUAUAUAGCUUUGAGGGGCCGCUGGUGAUGGAAAUAUCAAGACAAGUGUUUCUCGGUUUCAUUGCGCAUCCCUAAAUUCAUUGAAGGACGGUAAUCUGUCUCAGGAAAUUGUGUGCGUUGUGUGUCACAAAGCAGAAGCAGCUCUGCCAUUAUUGACUAUUCGUCUGAACAAUGUCAAUAGUCAAUUUACAAAUUAAAAAGGGUAUAGCACUAGCGUAUUGGCGUCAAUCAACCCAAUUUAACAAAAUAGUCGGCUUUUUAGGUCAGGCAUAUGAGACGCAACUGGGUUUUGCACAAAAUUACCCCAAUCAGAAAACGGAACGAGUGUUUUUUUGGCACCGCUGUGACUAGAAAACAUGGCGAGUCUAAAUGAAAAUGCACGUCUCCUUUUUUCCGACCAUCAGUUACUGAUUUCCAACGCAUCUGUUUUCCUGCUGCGGCUGUAGCUCUGAUCACAAUGUCUGUGUGUCUCAGUGCAGCAACAACUGCUGUAAGACCAGAACACCCACCAUCUAACCCGACGCAACCACUGAUGUCCACCUAAUGUGUUGGUUUCUCCACUUGCGUUUGCUGACCGCUGUAUUCAACAGUGUUUAUCUCAAUCCCACUCUUUCUAUCUCUCGCGUUUGUCUUUCUCCCAUGAACAUCUGUGCCUUCCUCGGCCUUAUCAAGCGUGAUGUUAUUGAGUGGGAUUGCAACUCUGCAGCUGAAUCAGCACCUCGGUAAAUACGGAGUAAAUAAAUACAUUGACCCGAGGUGGCGCAGGUCCUUACAUUCAAAUGUAAGUUCCUUCCAUGGCACAAGUAGGGACUAAAUACAGAGCAGGAAUGCCAAUUUCUCUAUCAUUAGUAACAUUUUUUUCACAGCCAAAGUACGCCAGCAAACAACACUAUUUAAAGAUGUAGUUAACUUUUGUCUGCUGGAGCACAGCAUGAAGUCGCUCACCUUCAAAGCGGAGCCCCAUUCCUCCGGUCCCUUCCCUCCCCCUCCCAGGUGAACACUGUUGGCUGUGAUUAGCACUGUUAGCAUGUUAGCUGCGAGCAGCCUGCUAAGCCAUUGACAUGUUGUGAGAGCUAUUGAUAGGCAUAGAAAGGCUCCUUAUAAUUUAGUACCAAAUUGGUCAAGAACGCAACGCAUUCAUUCGUAUUAGUUCAUCAACAGGAGCGGUGCUUGGGUCUUUUCUUUUGCCUUCACAAACUUAACAAACAAAACUAAACCAUAAUUAGUUGCCAACUCUGACUGGUAUUCAUUCACACCCUCAACUGUUCCAACUCCCCUACCUUCCCAUCCCUUUUUACCGCUUUAAUCAGAGAAAUUUAUCAGAACUACUCAAAGUUUUGGACGGUGAAAAUAUUGAAACAAAAACCACAACACGCAAAAUGUACCAUGUACAGACCCGAAUUAAAUAAUUGACUGUGUGCUUUUCACACUGUAUUUUACUCAUACUACGGUGCCCUGAUUUGUUUAAAGUUCCAAUUAGAUUAAGAAGCAUGCACUGUAUGGCCCAUUUUCAAAUAAUUCAAGUAAAAUUCACAGUGAAUAAUAUUUGAAAAUAUCCAUCCUCACUCUGUCCUUCCGUCCCAGUGUGUAACUCUCCUCUGACAAAGACACAGCAGGAGGGGAGACGUGAUGUCAUCUCUUUUUAUUGACCGACACGUCUGAUGAGGGCCCGUCCUCCACUUUGGCAGCAGGCAAGCGUGCGGCGGUGGCGCCCACCAGGGCGCGAGGAGGGGACGACGUGGCCGUCCUUCAUAGAUAUUCCGUGCAGGGCUUUACCCUCAGCUGCCCCGUCAAGGUCUGUGUGUGAGCCCCUCCGCGGAGGAGGCUGAGACAGGGUCAUGGAUGACACCCGCCUCUCUGCCAAACGUGACAGCACAGCUGGGCCGCUUAAUGACAGACGGGGGCCGGCCCAGGCGCACACCUGCCCGUCCCGGGCGAGGCGGGCGACCUCACGGGGAGAAAAAGGAGACGCUGCCACGUUCGAUGGGCAGAUGUUCUGGAGGGGAGGCGGCGGAGACAGCUGCACCGCGGGGACCCCUCAGCUUCUCUCCGGUAAUUGAAAAUCAUGUAAAAGGUCAAUAGCGUGAUACUGGCCGUCCCUCUCUGCAAGUUGUUCCUUUCAGCCAGAACAUGACAAAAACAACACCGACUGGAUGACAGCUUCUGCCGCAAUUACUGCCCAUUUAGCUAUGGAUGUCCAUGUAAUGACGAGAUCUGUAAACAUUCCCAGGGAAUAAAUCUCCAUAUACAAAAGAGGUGUGGGCCAUCUGUUGGAGGCCAUGGAUGGGGAUCCCAGAAAGAAACCUAAUCAUUGGGUACAUUACACAGACACUGUUAUGACAUUUGGACUCCAAAUGAAGGAGGACUGUAAGUGGGGGAUGUAAAUAAAAUCUCAUUUCAAACAGCAUUUGCUGAACGGCAGGCCGGCAGCGCCUGUGUGAAGGGUCCACUGAGGUACACGGGGGGUCAGUGCCUGUCCGGAACAUCAGCAGAUAGGGACCCUUAUUCUGGGUUUCACUCUGAUGAGAAGUGACGAGGUUCUAACCUCCACAGAAUCGCUCUCUUGCUUGUGGCGGCCUUAAACGGAACCAGCUAAAGGAACUGUCACACACCAUCAGCCUCUCCAGAAUUCGGCAGAGAUUUGUAAAACGUCAUGGAGAGAUUGACAAUCAAAAUAGACGACGGCCACUCAUCACGUACCACGAAACAGGGAAAGAAGAUCUAUUUUAGCCGCUUUCGCAAGAAGGAUGACGUUUGACUUAAAGUAAUAAAACCGUGGCCAUAUAUUUGAGAGGUUUUAUGGGAACUGGAGAUGGUACAAAAGUGUGUGUCAGAUUUGGACGGAAGAAUGUGACAUCUCAUCCCACUUAUAUUUCAAUAAUUCAAGAUUGAAAAAGUUGUUACUUUUAAUGAGGAACAUGUUAGGGCUCACCCACAAACAUGUGGCUUUGAGGGAACUCUAAUGAAAACAAGUGCUGCGACUUGAGCAACAGCACAAACAGGAAGGAAACAAUAUAUUCUAUAAACUCCCCCAAAUGAGAAUGUUAUCAAUAACACUUGUGUCUGGAGGAAAAACAAAAUGAAGCUCUUCGAGACGCAUGUUUCUCAUUUCCAAUGACCAAAGCCCUUUGCCAAUAACAAUAUAUUUCCCGCAAUCACAAUCAAAACCACACAGCCUUGGCACUGCACUUUGUCCCAAAUUAUGUUUUGAUUCUGACCGAAUGCAACAGCUCCCCGUCUGGUGCGGUUUUCUCUCACUGUCCGUUUUAUCAUCCAGAACCAAAUGCCAAGGGAAGCGGUUUCCACUGCAGAUGUGUAGUAACAUAUCGGAAUCGUUGGACGCUGCGGAUCCUCGUCAAGGAAACAACGACUGUGGGUGUGACCGUUUGCUCAGGUAUUUUUACUAUUCAAUUGUUUAAUGUAGCGCGGUGUGAAAAUCCUGCUUAAAAGUUCUACUUAAAUCAAAUUUCAAAAGUAUUACUUUUGUGUGCAUUGAUUUAAUGUUGCAGGUGGAGAAGGUGGCGCUAAUUUUCAUUACUUACUAUAAUCAGUAAUUAAGCUAUAAACAGGGGGGGGUCACAUCUUCACCACCCACCCUAAAAAUAUAAACAUUUUAGUGAUAUGUAAUUAUUUUAUAAAUAACACUUUCUUAUAUAGUUUGUAUAUUAUGAUGCAAUUGAUUUAAAAAAAAAAGAAAGGAACAAAACUUAUUUGCGUGGGUGGUGGGGGGGUCUGCAGGGGGUGCGGUUGGGGGGUCAUGACAGAAAGUUUGGGAACCACUGCAUUAGUUGAUUUUGUAUGUUGUACUUAGAAUCUGCAAAGUAGUAAAAAAACUGUAUUUCCCUUGGAGAUGCAGUCGAUUAGAUGGCUGACAUAAAAUGGAAACGAUUAAGUACACAAACCUCAAAAUUGUACUUAAGUACAGUGAACUUGACAAUCCUGAAUUUACUUAGUUAUAUCCAACCACUGCUGGAACAAGCAAACGUAUUUCUUUUCUUAGAUACAGCCUCUUUAUUUUGCUUUAAAACCAGAUUGAUGCUUUUAACAUACUUUCACAGAAUCCUGUGGGGAAACACUGCAGAACUUCCGAGAAACAAACACUAUCCGCUCAGCAAACCUAAUGGAACCCUGUGUUCACGCGUAUGAACUCUGUGCUUUAACAAAUAAAUUGAUUAUAAAGAUAUGAAUCUAAUGUAACGACGAGGCAACAAAAGAAUAGUGUCACCGGAGCUGCGACGUGCUUCACGUUGGGUGUGUUGUUGCCAUGGACACGCCGCGUUUCACCACAUAGUUCCAGGUGAAUAUACGACGUCUGAGAACAUGAUGAAUAUUACAUUUGAUGUUUGCCAAAAGAUACCUCUUGGCAAACAAAAAUGAUGAGUGUGAUUGGGUUUGUGGGCAUAUCCCAUUUUGAGUUUAAUUGUGCAACUGCAUGUGUGUAGCACACCGCGAUGCACAUUUCAAAGGCGAGACAGCUCCUGGGCUUGCUGGACUUUUGCUUGUUAUCAGGAGCUGAGAGUGAAAUGGAGAGAAUUGAUCUUUUGUCUACUGGAGGUGCACUCCCUUGGGCUGGGCCGCUCGCUUGCUCACCUCGCUUGGCUGCCAUGCAGAGGGCUCUCUUUCUCAUCCUCACCCCCCCCCCCCUCCCCACCACCACCACCACCAGCAUCUCCUCACCCCCUCUCAUGCGCUCCCUCUCCCUGCAUGGCGGCUGCCUCUCCUCCAGCUGACACUUGUCCUGCCGUAACUGGGAGAGAUGUGCGCUGAGCUGCUGACACCAGGAUUGAUCUUCUUCCUUUUCCCCAUAAGCUCCUUAUCAAGCUUCUGGAGACUGCAGGAGACAAAAUGGGCAGAGGGGGAAGGAGGGAGAAUAUUGUCAACUCCCAUCCUCGGUUCAAACUAACAGUGUUUAGUGCGGCGAAGGAAUAGAGAGAACAAAGUUGACAGUUUUAUUGGUAGUGGUAGAGGGAAGUUUACUCUUUUUGCUAAAUUGUUGCUUGAAGUGUCACGCCGCCAACAACUAGAUUUCCUAAUGCUACGAACUGUUUUAUAGUUGUUUUUCAUGCACAAGCCUCAAUGGUAAACCAUUUCCUGAAGCUGAGAAGUAGUAGUAUUAAAAAAAGAGUAUAGUUUAAGCAGCAUAUUUCUGUAAAUAGACCAUAACACCAUAAUCUUUGAACCAAAAUCCUGAGCAGUGAGUGAGUGCUGCCCAAAUGUGAGUCUGAGUCACAAUAUUAAAUGAAUGUGCACACGGCAUGAUUUUGAGGGCACACUUGCAGCAUAAUGUAAUGUUGAAGCAUUCACAGUAACUGUAUACAUCACAGUAUAAAUUUGUUUUCGCUAAAAUGUCCAUUGAAACCUUAAUGAAGGGGCAGAGCAACCAUCCGAAAGCUCUAAAUGCUCAAUUUACUCAGUUAUCGUGAUUUGAACGGGUUGUUUUCAGCACAGACGCAGUUCAAAUGAAUGCAAAAACAGAUUAUAUAUUUUAUUUUAUAUUAAAAUGCUUGAAGUUAUGACGUCAUCAAGAUGGGUUCAAAUAAUCUUUUACAAUUGAGCGUUGAGAGGAAUGCAGUUUUUUGAAGAUGUUUACAAAGCAAUUGAAAAUAGAUAUUUUAGGAGAUAUAAAGGGGGGAAUUUAAGCGUUGUUUAACCACUUAAUACCAGCUCAAAGCAGCUUAUAGAAUAUAAUUAAACCUAAUGACAAAAUGGGUUUUUAAACAGGAAAAUUGGGUUUUGUUUGCAGAGCCGAGCUAAACUAUAAAAAGAUAGAUAACAUAGAUUGAAACCCUGGCCCAACAAAAAAUAUGAUUUCACCUCAAAAUUAAAAACUGUAGUUUUAAGAAAGACAAUCAACACUUGGAUCAAACAUUGUGGGCAGCCGUGCAGUAAAGACUAUAAAGGCAGUAAAGGCUGUAAAGGCUGUAAAGGCAGUAAAGGCAGUAAAGGCAGUAAAGGCUGUAAAGACUGUAAAGGCAGUAAAGGCAGUAAAGGCUGUAAAGGCUGUAAAGACUAUAAAGACUGUAAAGGCAGUAAAGGCAGUAAAGGCAGUAAAGGCUGUAAAGGCUGUAAAGACUAUAAAGACUGUAAAGGCAGUAAAGGCUGUAAAGGCUGUAAAGGCGGUAAAGGCUGUAAAUGCAGUAAAGACUGUAAAGACUGUAAAGGCUGUAAAGGCAGUAAAGGCAGUAAAGGCUGUAAAGGCGGUAAAGGCUGUAAAGACUAUAGACUGUAAAGGCAGUAAAGACUGUAAAGGCAGUAAAGACUGUAAAGACUGUAAAGGCAGUAAAUGCUGUAAAGGCUGUAAAGGCGGUAAAGGCUGUAAAGGCUGAAAAGACUAUAAAGGCGGUAAAGGCAGUAAAGGCUGUAAAGGCAGUAAAGGCUGGUCUCAGUGGCUCGAGUGGACUUCUGUUGUGAUUUUAAGUUCAGGCACCGGGGUGAAUUUGACUGGGGAUCUUUACAGUUAUUAUUGUGUGUUAUUGGCAUCGCAGGGAGGGGAGGCCUGGGAGGAGAGAAGAGGGGGGGGGUCUAGCAGCAAACAUGAUAAUUUGCGAGUUAGCCAAUUUCAGGAGGCUGGAUGGCCCGAUACCCUUGGUAAGCAUCCGGGAGCAGAGGAGACCAGUGUGGAGCGGGCCUGAGCCGUGCAGAAGGAAGAUGAAUCAAGUUUAAUAACAAAGGGUUCUAAUUGCCCCCCCCCCCCCCCCCACCCCUACCUCGGAGCUGAACUCUAAUUACGGUGAGAACACAGUGCACUGUCACCCAAUAUUAAGUUGUUGAAGAGCGGGACGAGCUAAUCAAUAAACACUUUAGUUG